GAGCUGGAUGGGGAGAAUAUAAACAAUUCCAGCUGAAAGUGAUUAAAGCUCCACAGAAAACAAGGCCUGUCCAGAUCUCAACAUCCACCCUCCAUCCAGAUCAAACUCUGAGCUCAUUUUCAAACACGUCGCCUCAUUUGAGCACAUCCGACACGAAGCCUCAAUCCAGCACCAUCACGAUCACAGACCAUCACAUCUC